CCAAUGGACUUGUGCGAAAUGUGUGCCUAUCAAAAUUCCUCAAAAUAACUAACGAAAUUGCUGAUAAAUUAGAGCUGGUUCCCUGUCUAAUGAUAAGCAUGCCAAAUGUCAUGUUUACUGCAUUUUGGAAAUGAUGCAAACGAAGAAGUAGGGUACAUUCUUGUAUGAAGCUUCUUUGAAGCAAGUCGAUGUCCUCAUUCACAAUGACUAUGAAGAUGAACACAAAGCUGGAUUGACAGCAUGCAAGGAUGCAUUCGUGGGGGUUAAGAACAAUUGCGAAGCUGCGGGAUUCGAUUUACCGAUAAGGGGCCUCCUUUUUAUAUCCGAGACGGAACGGCAUGCCGCAAUUCGACACGUCUUUGGGGAAAAGUUUUUAUUUACAUGGCUUCUAUGCAUGGCAAAGUACCUCGCGAAUCUCGCCAGCAUUAAGAGGGGAUAACAACCGCUGCAAAAUUUUGUUCUAUGUUCUCGCCCUCUGCGCUACUUUGGUGGUGCUAUGACAUUCUCUUAAUAGAAUGUUCAUGGGAAAAAUUUGGUAUUUGAAAGAUUUGACUGGAUUGAUCUUUACAUUCACAUAAGUUUUCCAUCGGAUCUUUGCUCCAUCGGCAAUUUCGUUAGUUAUUUUGGGGAGUUUUGUUAGGCACACAUCUCGCUUAAGUCCACCGUUACCACCAGCUCUUAUUCCAUCAGCAAUUUCCUUGGUUAUUUUGGAAGACAUAAAUGUCACAUAAGUCCUUCGGUUUUCUGUUGCCUGUAAGAAAGUUCAAGCAAACUGGUCAAAACAAUGAAAAAAGUUGAAUGUUUUUUCUGAGUUUUUCAACCCAUUAACGCCUGGCACUCGAUUUCCUUAUCCGAUUUUAAUGAAAUUUCGUAUUUUCAUUGUUUGAAGCUUUUUUGUUGAACCAGAC